rnacentral:hammerhead_ribozyme from 1 species
ACUUAUUUGACGAGUCCCAAAUAGGACGAAAGGCGCGUCAAGCUGGAU